UUGCGGCAUACUUCAAAGCUGUUUACUGUGGGAGAAUGAUGUCUACGCAGCACAGUGAAAGCAUGAACAGACUUGUGAAAAGACAUCAUGUUAACACUACGACACCUUUGCAUGAGUUUGCACGAAAAAUGUACCUAGUCUUGCAAAAGAGAAAAGAAGCAGAAGGCCGAGAGACCAUUGCAUGUCAGGCACGCCCAGCAACAAUAACAAACUACCCUCUGGAAAAUCAGUUGAGCAGGAUCUAUACCCGUGCCGUAUUCAACAAAUACAAAGAUGCAUAUGUUUAUGGAACAUCUUUCCUUACAAAGAAAGUGGAUGCUGGUCGUUUCCUUGUGGUCUAUGGUAGAGAUGGCCCGUCUUUUUCUUGGUCCCAACAUGAGUUCAAAGUGGUUUGUGAUGAAGAAAAAGAAGAC